ACAUAUGACAGUAAAAUUAAGUUAAAACGAAAACACUACAAGGCAAACAAUGGCGCUGUAAAAAUGUCUGUUUACAUGCGAGCACGACUAGAUGUUAUUACAUUGAUUUUUGGAUAUGUUUGCGAGUUUCUAUCAGCAGCUGGCAUGGCCGCUACCGGCAGUAUGUGCCAGCCUAUGCACAGGCAUUCUCCUUCUUGGUACGUUACAGCUGUCGACUAUUGCGUCGUCAUUACUCUCGCACUCAGCUUCUUCUUGCUGUUCGCCAUUGGUUUAACAGUCAUUGCGAGUGUUUGCGCGGGCAAACCAAUGCUGCUGAUCCACACACAGCGAAUGUUGACGAUUUUGUUAUCUAUCAGCGUUUUGGAAAGUUGCACCUUUUAUUACCUGAAUAUUUUUAACAUUUCAGAAAUUUGCGUAUUUUUCUUCAUCGUACCGAUACCAAUGAUAUGUAUGUACUAAAGAACAAAAUUAAAACUCUUCUUUAAACUUUUUUUCCAGUAUUCACAUUGGGAACUAAGAUACUCCUUUACAAAUAUUUUAAACUUCAGAUUACAAAGCCGCAAAGCGGUAACGUUUCCGAAUCAUAAAAAUGCCUGAGUAAACUCCAAAGUGAAUUUCUUCUUUUACAAAUGUGUACGAGUGACUGCUGUGCUAUAACGCAUUUCUGCUGUUGCAACUUAAGAGUGGCGUCUUUGACAUCCGGAGUCAUUUGCAUAAUUCUUGCCAUCUUGGGCUUGCCCGCCUUAAGUGUUACCUACAAUUCAAAAAACAAACGCGAAUUUCCAAACAUUUUGACGUUGGCCACAUUUUUCUUCGUCAUGUUUGCUACAGGCUUUUCAACGGUUUUAGGCAUUUGUACUGAUAAAAUGACGUUGGUAGAUCAUGCACAAACUAUGUUUACCGUUUUGUCUGGGUAUUCCGUUGCCUCAACGUUUACCUCGAUCAUUGCGUACAGCAGUCUGCAGUUGCACGUAGUCUGCCCGCAGUUUCUUGUUAUGAUGAUAGUAUUUCUUUUUUUUAGCGUGACAAGUAAAAUUAUCAUAUUCAGCUAUAAAAUUUCCCGUUUGGAAAUCGAUGACAGAGAUUACUAUCCGGACCCAUGAUCUGCAUACUCUGGCAAAAUCUGCCGUCAAUUCUUUUUUCAUGCGAUUUGUAUUACGAGAGCGCAAAAAGAGGAAGAGGAUCUACCCAACUGAUGUCCUAAAUUUGUUUACAAAAUUAAAACAAAUAGAUGAUAGUUUAUUUUAUGAAUUCUUGGCAAUGGAUAACUGCACCAUAUUUACUGGAGCAAGCAGUGAAAUGAUAUGUCGCAAAUAAUAUUUGUGCCAAAUCGAUGAUAAUUUCGUCAUACUCUAAAAUGCCGUUACUUUCGUGAAAGAAUAAAUGCUCAGUGGUGUUACCUUGUGAGAAUGGUUAUUAAAAUUAUAUCGGACACCAACUCUGUGCAAAACUUUGAUGUUUCUCUGAGUACUUUGGAGUGUACAACUUGAGGUGGGUAGGAGCUGUAUGAAUUUUGAAAUUUUGGACAAUAUAAUUAUAUUAAUAGGUUCCUUUGCACCUUAAAAAUAGUAUUAAAUCAACCAAGCAUUAUUGAAAACAACUCUUUUAAUUUUGAAUGACCCUUCUACAUUCUAACCUCUAAAACGUGUCUAAAUUUCCGAGGUCAACAGUAUCACACUUUCGAGAUAGUCCCACAGCAUGAACUUUGAAUUUCCGUUAUCAUUUGUACUCAAUUUUAAUCCACAUGACUGAGUGGGCCACUAUAGUACUUUUCCUCAAUAUUUACUGGCUUGUGAGAACUUAGCUGAAGAUAAAAACGGAACACUCAGAGUACCCAGCUCAGGUGAUCCCAUAACCAAUGUGGUAUUAAUAGUUAAAAAGUUAUCUGCAAAGUAUUGAUUAAGUAAAUUUAACUUUUCGUGAGUUUCAUUUCAAGAAGAAUGAAUGGUCGUCAGCGUACAUCAAUAAAUGUAAAUAUUUACACCUGUACAUUGGUAAUCCAGUAGAGUUAGUAAAAAGUUGAGCGAUGUCGGACGAGAAUAGAGUAAAUAAUAAGGGACUAAAACUUUGCCCUAUAACACUCCUUCAGAUGCCGGAAUUCUUUGGCUGGAAUGGGCCUCGCCGCCUACGAACAUAACAUCAUUAUCCUACAAAUCUCUAUUAAUGUAUUUAUUUUCGAUUAAUUCCAACAUUUUAAAGUUUGUACCAUAGUGCAGUCGAUACUAUCAAAUGUCUCUUCAGAUCAAUAAAAACUGCAUAAGGUUUUCUAUAUGUAGUCUCAAAUAACUAUUUACUAUCUCUGAUAUAAAAAUGUUAUCACGACAUCCUCUGCCCUUCCUGAAGCCCAUUUGCACAUCGGGUAACACACAGUGUUCUUCAGCCCACAUAUUCGGUCGUUCAUAGAUGAUAUUGGUAAAAACAUUUGUAAGACUGUGGAAAAUAGCGAUGCCACGAUAAUUAUAUGGAUCUCGAUGGUCUCUUUUUUGUGAAUGAGUUUCAAUUUAUUGUGUGAUCAAGAUUUUGGUGUGGUUUCGGCAGUUAAAAUUUUAUUAAAUAUGUAAUAACUGAAGAACGGUAAAACAAUUGUUUCCAUUGACUUAAGUCUUAAAGCAUUCAUUGGGUAUUAAAAUGUUUAUUAAAUAAAAAUAACGGCGAGGGUAUACUAAACUUACAAGACCGCAGCGUUCUCACUAAUGGUAUAACCUGCUAAGUGUAACCGAGAAAAAGAAACUAGAAAAUACAUAUUUAUAUUUAA